rnacentral:rRNA from 1 species
UUAGGAUGAACGCUAGCUACAGGCUUAACACAUGCAAGUCGAGGGGCAGCAUGGUCUUAGCUUGCUAAGGCCGAUGGCGACCGGCGCACGGGUGAGUAACACGUAUCCAACCUGCCGUCUACUCUUGGACAGCCUUCUGAAAGGAAGAUUAAUACAAGAUGGCAUCAUGAGUCCACAUGUUCACAUGAUUAAAGGUAUUCCGGUAGACGAUGGGGAUGCGCUCCAUUAGAUAGUAGGCGGGGUAACGGCCCACCUAGUCUUCGAUGGAUAGGGGUUCUGAGAGGAAGGUCCCCCACAUUGGAACUGAGACACGGUCCAAACUCCUACGGGAGGCAGCAGUGAGGAAUAUUGGUCAAUGGGCGAGAGCCUGAACCAGCCAAGUAGCGUGAAGGAUGACUGCCCUAUGGGUUGUAAACUUCUUUUAUAAAGGAAUAAAGUCGGGUAUGGAUACCCGUUUGCAUGUACUUUAUGAAUAAGGAUCGGCUAACUCCGUGCCAGCAGCCGCGGUAAUACGGAGGAUCCGAGCGUUAUCCGGAUUUAUUGGGUUUAAAGGGAGCGUAGAUGGAUGUUUAAGUCAGUUGUGAAAGUUUGCGGCUCAACCGUAAAAUUGCAGUUGAUACUGGAUAUCUUGAGUGCAGUUGAGGCAGGCGGAAUUCGUGGUGUAGCGGUGAAAUGCUUAGAUAUCACGAAGAACUCCGAUUGCGAAGGCAGCCUGCUAAGCUGCAACUGACAUUGAGGCUCGAAAGUGUGGGUAUCAAACAGGAUUAGAUACCCUGGUAGUCCACACGGUAAACGAUGAAUACUCGCUGUUUGCGAUAUACAGCAAGCGGCCAAGCGAAAGCGUUAAGUAUUCCACCUGGGGAGUACGCCGGCAACGGUGAAACUCAAAGGAAUUGACGGGGGCCCGCACAAGCGGAGGAACAUGUGGUUUAAUUCGAUGAUACGCGAGGAACCUUACCCGGGCUUAAAUUGCAGAUGAAUUACGGUGAAAGCCGUAAGCCGCAAGGCAUCUGUGAAGGUGCUGCAUGGUUGUCGUCAGCUCGUGCCGUGAGGUGUCGGCUUAAGUGCCAUAACGAGCGCAACCCUUGUUGUCAGUUACUAACAGGUUCCGCUGAGGACUCUGACAAGACUGCCAUCGUAAGAUGUGAGGAAGGUGGGGAUGACGUCAAAUCAGCACGGCCCUUACGUCCGGGGCUACACACGUGUUACAAUGGGGGGUACAGAGGGCCGCUACCACGCGAGUGGAUGCCAAUCCCAAAAACCUCUCUCAGUUCGGACUGGAGUCUGCAACCCGACUCCACGAAGCUGGAUUCGCUAGUAAUCGCGCAUCAGCCACGGCGCGGUGAAUACGUUCUCGGGCCUUGUACACACCGCCCGUCAAGCCAUGGGAGCCGGGGGUACCUGAAGUGCGUAACCGCGAGGAGCGCCCUAGGGUAAAA